rnacentral:rRNA from 1 species
GUCAGCAGCCGCGGGAACACCGGCGGCCCGAGUGGUGAUCGUGAUUAUUGGGUCUAAAGGGUCCGUAGCCGGUUUGGUCAGUCCUCCGGGAAAUCUGAUAGCUCAACUAUUAGGCUUUCGGGGGAUACUGCCAGACUUGGAACCGGGAGAGGUAAGAGGUACUACAGGGGUAGGAGUGAAAUCUUGUAAUCCCUGUGGGACCACCUGUGGCGAAGGCGUCUUACCAGAACGGGUUCGACGGUGAGGGACGAAAGCUGGGGGCACGAACCGGAUUAGAUACCCGGGUAGUCCCAGCCGUAAACGAUGCUCGCUAGGUGUCAGGCAUGGCGCGACCGUGUCUGGUGCCGCAGGGAAGCCGUGAAGCGAGCCACCUGGGAAGUACGGCCGCAAGGCUGAAACUUAAAGGAAUUGGCGGGGGAGCACAACAACGGGUGGAAGCCUGCGGUUUAAUUGGACUCAACGCCGGACAACUCACCGGGGGCGACAGCAAUAUGUAGGCCAAGCUGAAGACUUUGCCUGAAUCGCUGAGGGGAGGUGCAUGG